rnacentral:rRNA from 1 species
UCUUCGGAGAGUUUGAUCAUGGCUCAGGACGAACGCUGGCGGCGUGCCUAAAACAUGCAAGUCGAACGGGGUAGCAAUACCUAGUGGCGAACGGCGGAGUAAUACAUAAGCAACGUGCCCCAAAGACCGGGAUAGUCAUUGGAAACGAUGGGUAAUACCGGAUGUGGCGAGUUGAGGACAUCCUCGACUCAUUAAAGGGUUUUUCGCUUUGGGAGCGGCUUAUGGCCUAUCAGGUAGUUGGUGAGGUAACGGCUCACCAAGCCGACGACGGGUAGCGGGUCUGAGAGGAUGAUCCGCUCGAGUGGGACUGAGACACGGCCCACACACCUACGGGUGGCAGCAGUUGGGAAUCUUGCACAAUGGGGGAAACCCUGAUGCAGCGACGCCGCGUGAGCGAUGAAGCCCUUCGGGGUGUAAAGCUCUUUCGACGGGAACGAUAAUGACGGUACCCGGAGAAGAAGCCCCGGCUAACUUCG